rnacentral:pre_miRNA from 1 species
CGGGGGAGCGCCGAUCCUGGGCUGUGUCCCCGGCGCCCUGUGCUCCCGGGCCUGAGCUGCUGGAAUCGGGCUCCGGGGCCGCUCAGCCCCCU